CUCCUAUUCUCUCCUGGAACGAAUGGACUUAAAAUCAGGUCUCAGAACAUCAUAGAACAUCUGUACAUCAGGAAAAUGAAUGUGUCCAACAACUGCAACACCACAAAUCUAGAACUGCAUCCCCAUGUUCGCCUCAUUGAAUUUGCUCUGUAUAGCCUCAUUUUCUUUUUUGGAGCACUAUUUAAUGUCCUUGCCUUCUGGGUGUUCUCCUGCAAGAUGAAGAAGUGGACAGAAACCAGGGUGUAUGUAAUGAAUUUAGUCUUUGCAGAUUUCUCUGUCAUCUGCACCUUGCCUUCCAUGGUUUAUUUGCUCUGGAAUAAGUCAGCCCAAGGGAAACUCUGCCAGUUUACAGAGACAAUGUAUUUUAUCAACAUGUUAGUGAGCAUCUACAUCAUUUCAUUCAUCUCCAUUGAUCGAUACAUUGCCAUAAAGCACCCUCUGAAAGCCAGGGCCUUCAGGUCCCCAUCAAAGGCUGCCCUCCUCUGCGGGCUCCUGUGGGCCUUGGUGGUAGCCAGUGCCACCAUCCAGCUCUGGCACAGACACGCAGCUCUCUGCUUGCAGACCUACACCCCCAUGCCUGCUGCCCUCAGCCUACUGGCCAUUUUCUUUGUUUUCACUCUCCCAUUAGCAAUCUUGACCUUUUGCUCCACAGAAGUCAUCAGGAACCUCAAAAAACAUCUGAACACGAAUUCACCGGAGGAGAAAUCGAUCCAGAAAGCCGUACACAUUAUUUAUGCAAAUCUGAUUGUAUUUCUGAUAUGCUUUCUGCCAGCCUACCUCGGGCUGCUUGCCAGGUUCAUCAUGGAGAGCGUUGGAGCUCCCUGUUUCCUGCUCCGUGUCAUGAAGAACUUCUCCUCCAUGAUGAGGUGCAUUGCCACAUCCAACUGCUGCCUCGAUAGUGUCUGCUACUACUUUGUCACCAGGGAAUUCCAGGAAGCCUUUCUACAGCCCAAAGCCAGCACUCAACAAGCAGAGGCAACCCACCCCUUGCAGACACAGACAUGCUAAAGGAAAAAGGGGAACAAAACCCAACAUCUGCAACACAAAGAGGAAAUACAGCUUCAGGGCUAUUGGGAUAAAUAUUUCUCUUUUUAUCUAGCAAGUUCUUUUUUAGGUUUAGAAAUUUAUACUCUAUGUUCCCAUUAAACAAACAGGUCACAGAGAUGUGUAAAAGUGUUUCUUUGUAAUCAGUUGUUGUUAACAUGCCUCCAUUCCACCCUGCAGCACCUACUUGUUACUAUUACAGGAAGACAGGUGAGCCAUGUACCUCUUUUAGUUCCUUCUGCAGCUAAAAUCUAUUGAUCCUUCUUGCCAACAUGUACAAAUGUGUAUAUCAUAUUAUACCUCAUGGUGUAUUUCAGGUUGUUUCCAUUAUUAAACUAAUUCAGUUUAUAUUCA